rnacentral:rRNA from 1 species
AAAAAAGGUAAGCUACUAAGAGCGAAUGGUGGAUGCCUUGACUGGUAAAGGCGAUGAAGGACGUACUAGACUGCGAUAAGCUACGGGGAGCUGUCAAGAAGCUUUGAUCCGUAGAUUUCCGAAUGGGGCAACCCAAUGUAUAGAGAUAUACAUUACCUAUAUAGGAGCGAACGAGGGGAAUUGAAACAUCUUAGUACCCUCAGGAAAAGAAAUCAAUAGAGAUUGCGUCAGUAGCGGCGAGCGAAAGCGCAAGAGGGCAAACCCAGUGCUUGCACUGGGGGUUGUAGGACUGCAAUGUGCAAGAGCUGAGUUUAGCAGAACAUUCUGGAAAGUAUAGCCAUAGAGGGUGAUAGUCCCGUAUGCGAAAAACAAAGCUUAGCUAGCAGUAUCCUGAGUAGGGCGGGACACGAGGAAUCCUGUCUGAAUCCGGGUCGACCACGAUCCAACCCUAAAUACUAAUACCAGAUCGAUAGUGCACAAGUACCGUGAGGGAAAGGUGAAAAGAACUGAGGUGAUCAGAGUGAAAUAGAACCUGAAACCAUUUGCUUACAAUCAUUCAGAGCACUAUGUAGCAAUACAGUGUGAUGGACUGCCUUUUGCAUAAUGAGCCUGCGAGUUGUGGUGUCUGGCAAGGUUAAGCAAACGCGAAGCCGUAGCGAAAGCGAGUCUGAAUAGGGCGCUUAGUCAGAUGCUGCAGACCCGAAACGAAGUGAUCUAUCCAUGAGCAAGUUGAAGCUAGUGUAAGAACUAGUGGAGGACUGAACCCAUAGGCGUUGAAAAGCCCCGGGAUGACUUGUGGAUAGGGGUGAAAGGCCAAUCAAACUUCGUGAUAGCUGGUUCUCUCCGAAAUAUAUUUAGGUAUAGCGUUGUGUCGUAAUAUAAGGGGGUAGAGCACUGAAUGGGCUAGGGCAUACACCAAUGUACCAAACCCUAUCAAACUCCGAAUACCUUAUAUGUAAUCACAGCAGUCAGGCGGCGAGUGAUAAAAUCCGUCGUCAAGAGGGAAACAACCCAGACUACCAGCUAAGGUCCCUAAAUCUUACUUAAGUGGAAAACGAUGUGAAGUUACUUAAACAACCAGGAGGUUGGCUUAGAAGCAGCCAUCCUUUAAAGAAAGCGUAAUAGCUCACUGGUCUAGUGAUUUUGCGCGGAAAAUAUAACGGGGCUAAAGUAAGUACCGAAGCUGUAGACUUGCGCACAACUUAGAUUAUUUAAGUUUAGAAUAUGAGAAACUAAGUUAUGUUUAGUUAUAUUUUUACUGAUUUUUAUAGAGUAAAGAUAGAAAUAAAACUUAGUAAAAUCAGUAAAAAUAUUCUUAGGCUAAAGUUAAGUAGUUUAAGUUGUGUGCAAGUGGUAGGAGAGCGUUCUAUUUGCGUCGAAGGUAUACCGGUAAGGAGUGCUGGAGCGAAUAGAAGUGAGCAUGCAGGCAUGAGUAGCGAUAAUUAAUGUGAGAAUCAUUAACGCCGUAAACCCAAGGUUUCCUACGCGAUGCUCGUCAUCGUAGGGUUAGUCGGGUCCUAAGUCGAGUCCGAAAGGGGUAGACGAUGGCAAAUUGGUUAAUAUUCCAAUACCAACAUUAGUGUGCGAUGGAAGGACGCUUAGGGCUAAGGGGGCUAGCGGAUGGAAGUGCUAGUCUAAGGUCGUAGGAGGUUAUACAGGCAAAUCCGUAUAACAAUACUCCGAGAACUGAAAGGCUUUUUGAAGUCUUCGGAUGGAUAGAAGAACCCCUGAUGCCGUCGAGCCAAGAAAAGUUUCUAAGUUUAGCUAAUGUUGCCCGUACCGUAAACCGACACAGGUGGGUGGGAUGAGUAUUCUAAGGCGCGUGGAAGAACUCUCUUUAAGGAACUCUGCAAAAUAGCACCGUAUCUUCGGUAUAAGGUGUGGUUAGCUUUGUAUUAGGAUUUACUCCGAAAGCAAGGAAACUUACAACAAAGAGUCCCUCCCGACUGUUUACCAAAAACACAGCACUCUGCUAACUCGUAAGAGGAUGUAUAGGGUGUGACGCCUGCCCGGUGCUCGAAGGUUAAUUGAUGGGGUUAGCAUUAGCGAAGCUCUUGAUCGAAGCCCGAGUAAACGGCGGCCGUAACUAUAACGGUCCUAAGGUAGCGAAAUUCCUUGUCGGUUAAAUACCGACCUGCAUGAAUGGCGUAACGAGAUGGGAGCUGUCUCAAAGAGGGAUCCAGUGAAAUUGUAGUGGAGGUGAAAAUUCCUCCUACCCGCGGCAAGACGGAAAGACCCCGUGGACCUUUACUACAGCUUGACACUGCUACUUGGAUAAGAAUGUGCAGGAUAGGUGGGAGGCUUUGAGUAUAUGACGC